rnacentral:rRNA from 1 species
AGUGAACGCUGGCGGUAGGCCUAACACAUGCAAGUCGAACGGCAGCACAGUAAGAGCUUGCUCUUACGGGUGGCGAGUGGCGGACGGGUGAGGAAUACAUCGGAAUCUACUUUUUCGUGGGGGAUAACGUAGGGAAACUUACGCUAAUACCGCAUACGACCUACGGGUGAAAGCAGGGGAUCUUCGGACCUUGCGCGAUUGAAUGAGCCGAUGUCGGAUUAGCUAGUUGGCGGGGUAAAGGCCCACCAAGGCGACGAUCCGUAGCUAGUCUGAGAGGAUGAUCAGCCACACUGGAACUGAGACACGGUCCAGACUCCUACGGGAGGCAGCAGUGGGGAAUAUUGGACAAUGGGCGCAAGCCUGAUCCAGCCAUACCGCGUGGGUGAAGAAGGCCUUCGGGUUGUAAAGCCCUUUUGUUGGGAAAGAAAAGCAGCACGUUAAUACCCCGCUGUUCUGACGGUACCCAAAGAAUAAGCACCGGCUAACUUCGUG